rnacentral:lncRNA from 1 species
CAGGAAUGGAAACGAAAGUGGAACUCGGCCUUUCCCUCUUUCUCUCCUGCAGACGAUGGGCCCUACUCCAAAGGAGGCAAGGACGCAGGAGGGGCCGACGUUUCCCUGGCGUGCCGCAGACAGAGCAUUCCAGAGGAGUUCCGAGGGAUCACUGUGGUGGAGCUGAUCAAGAAAGAAGGCAGCACGCUGGGCCUGACUAUCUCAGGUGGCACCGACAAGGAUGGAAAGCCCAGGGUCUCCAACCUGAGACCUGGGGGACUUGCAGCCAGGAGUGAUCUGCUGAACAUUGGUGACUAUAUUCGGUCUGUGAACGGGAUCCACCUGACCAGGCUCCGCCACGAUGAGAUCAUCACCCUGCUCAAGAAUGUGGGCGAGCGCGUGGUGCUGGAGGUGGAGUAUGAGCUGCCCCCGCCCGGUGGGUGCCCUUGGACGGGGAACUUUCUCCACUGCCUCGGUUGCGGGUGGACACGGCUACCUCCCCACCAGGGCCUGGGUGGCAGGGAUCAUGCCAGAUGGAGUGGGUAGAACCUGGAGACUGGCCACAAGCAUCCAUACCUCGCCUAGGGGCUGUGCCUACAACCGCAGUAUGCUGUCACCAGGAGGUGGUGGGACUCUAUAGCCAAUGUCAUUUUACAUAUUUAGUCUCCAGAUGCUUUUCCUUUAGCGGGGAGGGUUUUGGAAGCAUUAGCUGAAUAAGUCGUUCCCUGACCUACCACGCCCACACUCCACUGCCCUGCACUAAGUAACGGUGGUGUAGGGUUUCACCUAGCUUGGGAUUUUCAAAGCUGGUCUAAAGUCUUGAAGUUUGAGUAACUGUCUGGAAUUCAGCCCUGGCCUGAGCCUACCAGCCAUGGACUCAAGCCUGAGUUCUGCCGUCGUCUCUGUGAGCAUGGGCAGGCCCUUUCCUCUCUCUCAGUGGUGGGCUAAGUGGGAUUAGGGGAGAGGAUCCCUCUAAGCCUCACUUGUUCGACCUGUAAAAUGGGCAAGGGUUUACCCUCCCUGUAAUCUCUGUGACUGAUCACCCAGUCCUCCUGGAAUGAGCUUUGGGCACAUCUACCGGCCUGGAGAUGCGACUGAGGGACUCAAAGGAGUCCUCCAUUUCUCCCCAGCUCCUGAGAAUAACCCCAGGAUCAUUUCAAAGACAGUGGACGUCUCCCUCUACAAGGAGGGCAAUAGCUUUGGCUUUGUCCUUAGAGGUCAGUGAAAGAAUUGCCCUUGGUAUUGGGGCAGCAAGAAAGAGGCUAAUACUAAUUCCAUGUGUGUGCUGUUUGGAUUUGAAUGUAAUUUAUGUGUAUCUCAGUUCUGACUUUGAAGAACACAGGACCGUUAAGGUAAGUAUUCAGUGGGAAAAUCUGCCAAGCAAUGAAGUAGGCUUGGUUGGGGAGAGUGAGAGGAGAAAGUUGUACCGGAAAAUGAUGGUGAAAGCUGCUACCGAGACUGAGAACAAAGUCUGGAGCUUCCUAGAGAUCAGGGAAAAGGGGAAAUAAGGUGAGGUCACAGAAGGGAGGCAAGCCAUUUAACAGAGAGAAGACUUUGGUCAUGUUACCCACCCCUUGCACCAUCUCUUGGGAGGGCGAAUUUAUUGUUGGUGUCUCAUAAGAGGGUCCAUGGAUAGCAAGGACAAGGUCCUCAAACAGGUUUUAUUGAAGGAGCCUGCUCAGGGGCUGUGUGGGAGCCUCUGGAUGGGAAGGGGUGGGUGGAUGAUUCCUGCUUCUUGUCAAAUCCUGUCCAGGAGGUGCCCAUGAAGAUGGGCACAAGUCCCGCCCGCUUGUCCUGACCUACGUGCGGCCCGGUGGCCCUGCCGACAGGUGAGCCGAGGCAGAAGAAAUCCACACACUGCACUGACCUGCCCCAACUCCCCUGCGAAGAAGGUGGAGUGGGGUCACCAUGCCCCUUCCCCAGAUGAAGAGAUCGAGGCCCUGAGGGAACACUCCCUGCCCGGUGUCAUUCAGGGAGUUGUUGAUGGAACCGGGAUGUAACCCCAAAUGAGGGAAACCUCGAGCCCUUUCUUCCCCAACAUACUGCUGUCUCAGGGGUUGGGGUGUUUGGAGAGGGGCAGCCUUGGUGUCGUUCUUCCCUUUCCUGCUCCUUGGUUUUCCCGUCUGUGGAAUGGUCCCUAAGAGUUGCUAUGAGAGAUUUGGGGGCACGCUGAUUGGCCACUGCUGUAGCCGUCUGUGACUCAGUCUCCUGGGUCCUGGCUGAUCGACCCAGCUCGGCCCCGCCUGGGCCCAGCCCAGAAGGGCCAGGAGGAGAGAAUGUGGGGAAAGAACAUGUCCAGUUCCCAGCCCCUGAUCCCUCGGCCUCCCCAGUGGGAGAUUCCUGGCCAUUUUAAGAGAAGCCUGGAACGGCCUUGUCAGAAAUCUAAAUCUGUCCUUGGGACAGGGCCCUGUGAUGAGCUAUUCAUAGAACCCCCGAGAAUAGCUUUGGCCACCUGUUGGGAGAGGCGUUCCAGGCUGGGGAUGCGACCCAAACCGAGGUGAACCCUGCUGGGGCCCCUCCCCUGGCCCCUGUUGAGUUCUUUCCCAGGCGCGGGUUGUCAUCAGGCCAGAAUCACCGCUGAGAAACCAGGGUGAGGGUGGAGCAAUGGGAAGGGACCAGGACGGCUCAGAGCAGCCCCCAAUGCCGUGUGGCAUGGGCACAGCUUGCACCCUCUCUGGGCCCUGGUGCUGUCCUUUGUCCCUGAGGCAGGAGUUGGGGGUGACGCUUGAAGAGCACCCCCAGCUCAGACAUUUCAGGGUUCUGCACUGAGUCUGUGAAUUACUGCACACCCAGAGGAGUGGCAGGCGGCAGAGCCACCCCAUCCUGUCUUCAUCCCCCCCUUGCUUUAUGCAGCUCCCCACUCCUGGAGUGGCUCAUUCCUUCACUCACUCAUGCGCCCCUUCACCCGUCCCCUCCUCCCCUUCCUCCCCCACCCAUUCCCUGCUUCUUCAUCCUCCAUGUCCCGCUUCCCAGCGCCCUCCCAGACAGGCUGUGCCCAGUGCUGCUGCCGGGCCAGGCUGGUGACUGGCCCUUCCCUACAGGGAGGGCUCCCUGAAGGUGGGCGACAGGCUGCUCAGUGUCGAUGGAAUCCCGCUGCACGGGGCCAGCCAUGCCACCGCCCUGGCCACCCUGCGGCAGUGCAGCCACGAGGCACUCUUUCAGGUGGAGUAUGAUGUGGCCACCCCUGGUGAGUUGGGGGCCUGAGUGUGUGGGUUGGGGCAGGAGGAGGCCUGGGAUGGGGGGAGGUGGCAGUGGCCAUGGAUCUUUACCACUGCAAAGGCUGCAUGACCUUAUGACCUUGGGCCAGUCACAGCUUCUCUGGGCAGUAAAUAGUAUGUGCUAGGCAUUGUUUGAUGUGCUGGGGAUCCAGCCUAGAACAACAGAAUUGAGGUGUCUGUUCUCAUGGAGCUGGCAUUCUGGUGGAGAGAGGACAGUAUCCAGAAUAGAUAAGAUAUGGUGUAUGUCAGUUGGCAAUAAGUGCUAUGGAAAAAAGAAAAGAGGCAGGGGAGAGAGAUGGGACAGGCUGGGGGAUGCUCUCUCACUAGGGGAGUGAGGGAAUGAGCGAGGCAUGGAAUGUCCAGGGACAGCAUUCCAGGAGGGCGGAAGAGUAAGUGCAAAGGCCCUGAGGCAGGAGCAUGGCCAGCAUGGUUGGUCACAGUGAGGAGGCUGCCGUGGUUGGCACAGGUGAGUGAAAGGAGGUAAGGGCAGAGCAGGGUGAGGUGGAAGCCGGGAGGCCAUAGGAAGCGGCAGCAGCUGUCCAAGCGAGAGCUAAGGGACUGAACCAGGCUGGUGGCUAAGGAGGGGAGAAGGCACGGGAUUCAGGAAAUAUGAUGACGGUCCAGCUGGCCUGAUCUGCUGAGAUUUAGACAUGGGUGGGCGAGGGCAGGAGCUAAGGGUGCGGCCAAAGUUUUAAUUUCCAGCCACUGGGUGUGUUAAUGGAGGUGCCAUUUCCUGAGAUGGGGAUGGGUUGUAGUGAACUUUACAGUUUAGUGCUGGUAUACCACAGGCUCUUCAUAAACUCAAGCAAAUUCAUUUCACCCAGCAAAGCCCUGGGAUCACAGCCCCUCAGACCUGAGCUCCUGCCCCUCCUCCACUGCUAUCUUAUCUGUCAAAUUGAUAUAACAUUUGGUAGAAGAU